UGAGCAAUCUGCCCUUCUCAUCGGAAUAAGCGUUGGAAACGACGUCUAAUGCCGAAUACGACCUCCUUUCGCAUGAUCGGAGGUGGAAAGCUCCGGCGGAGAAGGAUGAGCUCGCGGCCUAUCAGCUAGUUGGUGUGGGUAAUGGCCCACAAGGCGACGACGGGUAGCCGGCCUGAGAGGGUGACCGGCCACACUGGGACUGAGACACGGCCCAGACUCCGUACGGGAGCA
rnacentral:rRNA from 1 species